AUUGAACGCUGGCGGCAGGCCUAACACAUGCAAGUCGAGCGGAUGAAGGGAGCUUGCCCUGGAUUCAGCCGGGGAAGGGGGGGGUAAGGCCUAGAAACCGCCUGGGUGGUGGGGGUAACGGCCGGGAAACGGGGGCUAUUACGGCAACGUUCUGAGGGGGGAAGGGGGGGGAUUUUCGACCCUAAGGCUUUCGGUGGGGCUAGGUCGGAUUAGCUAGUUGGUGGGGUAAAGGCCUACCAAGGCGACGAUCCGUAACUGGUCUGAGAGGAUGAUCAGUCACACUGGAACUGAGACACGGUCCAGACUCCUACGGGAGGCAGCAGUGGGGAAUAUUGGACAAAGGGCGAAAGCCUGAUCCAGCCAUGCCGCGUGUGUGAAGAAGGUCUUCGGAUUGUAAAGCACUUUAAGUUGGGAGGAAGGGCAGUAAGUUAAUACCUUGCUGUUUUGACGUUACCAACAGAAUAAGCACCGGCUAACUUCGUG
rnacentral:rRNA from 1 species